UCACAUGCAUCAAACAAGGGCAAAGGUCGUGAGAAAGGAGGGCUGGUAUAUGAUAGCCAAUCCUGUCAAAGAUAAAUUUGCAAGGGGGGUUUUUAACAAGAAUAUAAAAGGGCACUUUUUCUUGUAUGGUGCGCAAGUGCCCAGUAUUGGAGGAGCACGCUGUCGGGCUAAUCAGCAUCAUCUCCGUGAUAAAGAAGAUUUUACCUUUUACCACCUUUGAGUAACAGAUUUAGUUAUUUUUCUGUCUGGAUCUGAGGUACAGAAGGGAAAUUGGGAGCCUUUUUUGUCUUCCACAACUGGAAGCAAAAAUUUCUUUAUAAUAGUGGUGUUUCCCAAAACAAUCAUUAAUGUGAAUUAUUUAACUUGUGAUUACUGUAAUAGGAUUGAUAAAGCAAAUGUGAUGCCUUGUUGGGGUUCAGUGUGGUUCUGGGUUUUCUGGAAAAGCCAGAGUGGCAUCCCUGCAAAGAUCGAUGCAAGUGGACACUGUAGCAGAAUCUGCAAAUAAGUGGCAAAAGACCCGAGGGUGACAGCUGAGGAUGUUCAGGCAUCUCGUGCAGAUUCACCUCCACAGAGGAACCAGUGCUCACUAAAAGCAUCCCUGCUUGCUAGAAGACACCCAUGUGCUCCGCAGCAGCACUGCAAUGAUGUUCUUCAGAAAGACGGGGCAGAGGCUGAGCUUUUUGAUGGGCUCAGCGCGCUUGGGAAGCUCCUCUGCGUGACGGUAUCAUAUGAAGGUCACAGAUGAGUGACGAGGCCGAGUGACUGGGUGCUACAGGCCGAUGAGGAACAUCGUUAUCCUGGGGCUCCUCGUCAAUGAGGAGCUAAGUUGCAGGGCCAACUCUGCGAGGAGCCUCCGUUCACUUUACAUGCCGACACACACGAACCAGUACAUCAGAAUACUGUCAGUUUAUGGCCAUACAUUUUUCAUUUUUAAUAUUGAUUUCCCAUUAUCGUGCUCCAGUUCCAAUAACCCCUCGGCCUGGCGUUUGCAGUCAUCUUGAUCCUGUGCUCUGUAAUUUCUGUCCAUAAUUCUUGUACACAGCUGUGCCCGCUCUCCAGGCCUGUUCAUCACGCAUCAUGCUAUUCAUUUUUAAGCCAGACAACAUAUAGAGAAAGUCAUGGGCUGAAUUAUUAACAUCAUUUCAGUAAGAGAAUAUGGAAGGCAUCCUCUCCAACCCCACCAAGAGAGUGAAGCCUCCUCUGAUUGACCGUCGAACUCAAAGCAGUGAAAUGGCGAAACCUCCAUAAAUAAGGCAAAUCACACCUCAGGUCAGAUUACGCCAUUCCAUUUUGUGAUGAAUUGGGAUGGUUUGUGGGAAAAUCCGGCGCCCAGCGUGUGGGGCUGCGGUAACCUUGACCUGAGCCCGUGGGGAUCGGGAGAGAGAUGGCAGAUGGGGGGAAGCUAUCGAUCUGGUCUGGUCCCGGUGAGAGACCUGAGGGCUCUGGACAAACCGCACUGCUCACCCUGACUGCUGUAUUCCCAUUCAGGAUGUCACCUCUGAGACAUUAAAAUGUAUUAUCAUAACCAGAGUAUUACGGACUGCCAUCCUGGCCAGGGUGUUCUCCAGUCUUAUGCUCUGGGAUAGGCUCCACCCCCCCUCCCCCAUUAUGACCUUGGCCAGAAUAUGUGAUAGGAAUACGGAUGGGUGACCUCAGUUAGCCGCAGGUAUUUAUGCAGUGAUAUUUUCAUUUGGUUUUUUAUACUCAGCUGCAAUGCUGAAAAAAGCACUGCUUCCAUGCCUGUCAGCUGCCGAGGCAGCUGGUUUGAGGUUUCAAAAUUCAGAAUCUCAGUUCUGGAUUAUUUCCAGGCCCACAAUAUCACAACAUCAACUGCCAGUUUAAUGCACAGGGAUCGUCCCUUUUCACAGGAGUAAGGAGAAAUCAUACAUUUUUUUUUCUUUUUUUUUACAUUUAACUCAUAACACAAACUACUUAAACUAGGGGAACAUUUGUGGAAGUGCCAGAUUCAGUAAAUAUACUGUGUAUUGUGCAAAGGUUAUUUUUUCUGUAUACUGUGAGAAAGUUAUUUUUUCAGUGAAUAUGGCACAUUUUAAAUUUUAACGAUUCAGACAAGAUAUGGAAGUUUGCUUGGCUUUAAAUUAUGUAAAAAAUUCAUGGACUCCAAAGUGCAGUAUUCACAGACCAUAACUGAAUUCAAAUCAAUCCAAGGCCUCCUGUGAAGAACUGAACUGCAGCCCAGUGACAUGAAAACAAAAAUAGAUAAAAACAUAGAAAUUACACAAAUCAGCUAUAAAGCAUAAUAUCAGAUAGCUUUGUAACAAACUGUGACAAAUGUAACAAAUUGCCUGAAUGAUAUGGGCCAGGUCCAGUGGCUCAGACUUGCCAGAGCGUGAAUUGUGCCAGGGACUGAUUGUGAGUCUCUCAACAGUUAAAUUCAAUGAAGUGUUGACAUGUUAUUGAAUUCAAUUUUACACUGAAUAUUUGCUAAAUGGGUGUCACACUUACAGGGUGGGGAUUUGACUGGUACCUGUGUUCUGUGUGUACAGUUUGCAUGAUCCGCAUUGGAUUCCUCCAGCUGUUAUUGUGUGUGUUUCUAUGUGUGUGUGUGUGUGUGAGCGGGUAUACCUAUCCUUAUGGGGACACAAUGUCCCCAUAAUGUGAUAAAUAUCCGUUUUCUUUCCCUUAUGGGAAACUGGUCCCCAUAAGGGAAAACUCUAUUUUAUAAAAAACAGUGACCGCUAUGAAAAAACUAAAAUACAAAAACUCUUGCAUUUUGCUUGGUUACUUAUGGUUGUGGUUAGGGCAGGGUGGGGGUUAAGGUUGUCAUAGUUAGCGUUAGUAUUUUUCCCAUAGAAGUGAAUCAGCGGGCCCCACAAGGAUAGGUAUACUCUACAUGUGUGUGUGUGUGUGUGUGUGUGUGUUCAUGUAUGCUGUGAGAUGGAAUAAUGUAUCUGUCUGUGAAACAGCAUUUUAAUAUUAGCAAGCCAAAGAUCAUUCUCACACUACCCAGGUAAAAAGCUUAUUCACUGUCUACAUCUUUAACUGCCUCUUAAGCCUUUUGCUUAGUACCACAGUUUGAAGAGCCAUGGCAAAAUAAAAAUAUCACGUUGUGGCUUUGUGCUGGUCUGUCGGUGCCUCUGUGCUUUUAAAUAUAUGCCAAGAUGGUCUUCUGACUACGCUUCAUCUUGUGUAUAGUCAUGAUCUGUCUUCUGCUGUAUUUUGGAUUUCAUUCUCCUCUAUCUCUCUGCAGGGGGUUAGAAAACACAUUUAGCCUAUCAUGGAGGCAGGUCAUCACUUCCCACUCUGUUUUCCCUGAGCUGGACUCGUGUUUUGGGUGUUAAGAGUGUUCGCUACGUGCUGCUAUGAAUAUUUACAUGCUUUGCUGACAGAGUUGGGUAAUUCAGAUCUGAAGAGUAAAAGUCCAGACCGGGAUUUUGUUUCAACCAGCCAAUUGAGUACAGUUAUGACUGUGGCUCUUUAUGCUCAACUGCUUGGUUGAAACAAAAUGUUGGUCUAGACUUUUACUCUCUGGACCUGAUUUACCCAACUCUGUUCACUGCAAGUAUUCCAUUCAGCGUGGUUCUUCUUUAUGAAUCUCUGCAGGUCCUCGGUUAAAAAUGUCCAGCCUGUUCUGGCACUUUCUAUGGAGCAAUCAGCCUACUGGAGGCCCCUGAAUCUGACCAAUUGUGGCCUCUCCUGAACCGAUCACGAAACACAGCACUGCCCUCUUCAAAGAGGCAAAGUUCUGGCGGCUUUCUGCUGCUGAACGGAGACGAUAAACAGCAUCGCUUCAUCGGAUUACGCGCUUACGAAGACAUGUCUGUUACGAUGAUAAACUCAAUAACCGAGCCGACUGCUCAGUGUAAUGACAUUUAUGGAUGCACUGGUCGCAGGAAUCCUUCGGUGGAGGCAGAGACAGAUGAUUAAGAUGAAGCUGCAGCCAGAGAGAGAUCUGCCUCCUACAGGGUCCAUUCUGUGAAGAGACAGGCUCCUUCUUCACACAGUUCUUCAGCAUGAUAUCAGAGAUAUACCCCCCCCUCCUGCCCCCCCUUUCUGAGGAUUUGUUUGGAUGGUGGUUGUCAUGACGAUAUUCGGCAUGGUACUGUCCGGUGAGGGUAAUGCUGAUGCUUUUGGUUUACGUGGGUGCUGCUCAUCCCACAUCGCUAACCAUGAACACGAACGGCUGUUAUUAAUAACCUGGCAAAGGGAGAAAGCUGCCCGCAGAUUUUAAAAGUGCAAUUAUUGUCUGCUCGUUGUUUCACAUAGAAGCACAAAAAAAACUGUUAAAGUCAAUUUCUCAGCUCAGGUUGUUUCAAACAAUAAAAUUAAAUAUACAAUGUGUAAGAUGGGGGUGGUGUGGUGUUGUCGAAAGGGUUUCUUCCCCAGAGUCCAAAUAGAUGCUGAGGCUAAUUGGUGUUGCCAGUAGGUGUGCAUGUGUGAGUGCAAAGUGUGUGUGAGGGCACCCCAUCCUGGGUUGUUUCCUGCCUUGUGCCCAUAGCCUCCGGAUCCCCAUGACCCUAAACUGGAUGGAUGGAUGGAUGGAUGUGUGAUGUCUUGCUGAAUUUGCAAUUAAAAAUGUGGGAAAGAAAAUGAAUGAAAUAACAUUUUCUGUUCCCCUUCCCCCUUUAUCUGUAGCUACAAGGGCUCCCUGAACAGGAAGCCAAUCCGUCACAAACUUAGGGCAACAUCUAGAGGAAUGGUACCAGGAAUCCAAAAGGAAACCUGGGACCGGAACUCACAUUCUGGACAUCAGAGGGCACUCGCACUCAUCACAAACUCUGUGGUGCCCGCUGAAGGGCAGUGAGUGGACCAUUCAGGCCCCCUGAGGCAGCAGGCUCUGCUCAGCAUAGCCUACCCAUGAAUCCGAGAGUCUGUUUCAUUUCAUAUUUUCUUCAGUACUUCAGUUGUUUUUCUACCACUAUUUAUAGACUAUUUAUAUUUAUAGACUGGUAGCUCACAUAUCUUCAUCUUAGUGCUGCUUGAACUACUGGGACAUAUAUGAUUAAACAAGCAUUUUUACAACCAGUUCUACUGAAGCUGUGUUAUUUGUACACAAUAAUGGCAUUUUUUUCUGGUUUAAUAUAUGAGAUGCACCAGACUUCUGACAGUAGAUUUUAUAGGGUAGGCCAAUUAAUCCACAAAGACCACAUCAACUGUAUUUUAUGGUGUGACGUACCAAUUACAGAUCAGUAGUAGAAACUCAUUUAUUUGCUCCACGUCAAACAGGAUUGGUUGGCAUGUAUGCAGACCCAAUGAAACUAGAGUGAUUCAUCUGCAGAUUUUUCGGUUGAGGAGUGUAUCGCAUACAGAGAAAGCAGUGGUGGCAGUGGUUUCUUUUUUGAGGAACAUCUCUAGACUGUCAUGUUCUACGUCAGAGACGGGGGAGAUUAGAGGGUGUGCAUCUCGGCCAGAUCCACACUGUUUGAGUAGGUGUAGCCCACCUCGUUUUCUGGAGAUGUUUCUGGAGAGCCCGGUGACAGUAGGAAGAGCACGCUUCUCCUCCCGCCUGCAGUAUCUGUCCCCAGGACCGCUGAAGCACUUCUGCACCUUUUACAGACAGUGACUCAAUACCUCAUGCUCAGUUCGGUCAGAUUCAAAUAAAAUGGAUAUAUAAAAUAAGCCUCCGCGUGAUGUGUUUCAGUGAACAGAAUAUUGAUUCUACACAUCAUUUCACACAAGCCGUAUCUCCUUCACAUUUUUCCAUGCCUUUACAGUAAAUUGCACUUGAAUUCCUCUGAAAACAUUUCUCAAAUGAACUAAAGAAGAAUCAUAGUAACAGAGGAAUGAGCCUUUGUUUUACAUGCCUCUGUUUUAGAUCUUUUUCGGAGGAACUCUUCCUGCAGGCAGCUUUCCAAUAGCUGCUGUUAUUAGUCACCCCAGUGCUUGUGAGGAGCAUUUUCUGUAAUGAAAUCUGAAAUUCCCCCACGUUGACUUUUCCACUGGAAAUGGAUUCACUGCUGGACGGGGAUUGGCUCGGCUUGGAAGGAAUGCUAAUCAUAGCCAUUGCUAAUCGUCACCGCUUCCAUAAUGGGCGAGAAGAGGGUUCGCUUGUAUCUGGCAGGACAUUGUUUAGCUGCAGAUCUCCAUGGAUGGCUGCUGGUGCCUCCCCAGUUUCCCGAGCUCCUGCACUGUUACCCUCAUCCCUUCCUUGAAACAGUAACCCAACAAUGAGUCCCAGUCUUACUUCCUGCCCAUUACAGUGAAACCUUGGGGUAAUGGGUAGCUUCCUGUCACAUGACCUCCUCCUCUCUGCAUGCAUCCUGAGCUGCCUGGUCAUCACGGUGACAUCGAAUGGCGUCUGUCUUUUUUUCCAGUGCCUGCCUCGCUUCCCGGUUUUGGGGUUGUAGGUUUUUCUAAAGCAUGUCAUUCCCAAACCUUGACCUCCUUCAACAUCUUCGUUGCCGUGUUAGUGGGGGGAUGAUGGACGGAGUCUGCUUGGCAGAAGGCAUUUAUUGGUGAUGGAGGGCUUAAACCGCUUCCAUCCUUCAGAGACUUGAAUUCUUGCAUUCCAGUCUCAUCAUCUGGGGCUGCAAUGGCACAUUUUUGUCAUUUUUAUCCGUUUUGGAAGCAGGUGCGGCCAGUCCAUUUUGUCUGAUUCAAUGCUCUGCAUUGCUGAAAAUAAACCUAGAAGGAUGAAUCACUUGUAGAAGCUAGUAGGGUUUGCUGGGCAAAGCUACAGGCCCAUCGAUCUAUUAUCGAGCACAUGGUUGAGCCCGAACCCCAGGCCCCAUCACAGCUGGUGUGCUCAUUGAAAUGACUUGGGAUGCAUUCAUUGGCUCACCACCAUUUAACCUUUGACCCUAGCUCAUACUCCUCAGGCCAUGGAAAAUCCAUGAAGACUGGAUCUGAGCAGGGAUUCAUUUGUUUAUUCAUUUAUGUAUUUUGUUGUUAUGGCAGCAAGGAAGACACAGAUGGCUUAAGUUCUCUUUUUGAAACCUGAGUAUCAAACAGAUCGAUGGAUAGACUCGGCACGCUUUAAGCUUUUCUGCAUCAUUCCGAUCACGGAUCUCGUGCUUAUUAUGUGCGCAGGGGAGGGGGCACUGACCAGAUCCCCUGUGAGAAUGGAGGAAUGGGAGCAGUCCUGUAUGAGAAUCAUAGCUAAUUAUGUAUUAAAUUAGCCAAUUGUCAUGCAGUCUGAUUACAGAAGGCAUUUUCAACAGAUGGAGUCAAAAAGUGCAGAAAGCCUGCUAUACCAUGCUGUAAAUAUUGUGCAUAUUGUAUCCCCUGAAUCGGGCAGGGGGGGUAGGACAGUUGUGUCUAGGCACACCUCAAGAUUCUGUUCCGCCACACCCUGCUGUCUGCAGCGAGCACAGUCCUACGGUGCUGGCUGAGGCGUGCAAAUCAGCGCUCCCGUGUCACGCCGCCUCGCUUGUCCCAAUUACCCUCGGGCGAAUCGCAAUUUGCCCGCUCCAGGCCUCCAGUCCUGGGAAGCGAGGGAAUCACACUCAGUGGGGCGGGAGCUGAUUCCGCAGGGAAAUGAAGUUCCAAUCCGUAGCUUUGCCAGUGGUCCCUCACAUAGAUCAGCCAGACCGGUUUAGCUGCACUCUAGGGUGGAGUGAAAA